AUUGAACGCUGGCGGCAGGCUUAACACAUGCAAGUCGAGCGAGCGGCGGACGGGUGAGUAAUGUCUGGGAAACUGCCUGAUGGAGGGGGAUAACUACUGGACACGGUAGCUAAUACCGCAUACCCUCAGAUGUGCCCAGAUGGGAUUAGCUAGGAGGUGGGGUAAUGGCUCACCUAGGCUACGAUCCCUAGCUGGUCUGAGAGGAUGUCCAGCGAAACGGGAACUGAGAAACGGUACAGACUCCGACGGGAGGCAGCAGUGGGGAAUAUUGCACAAUGGGCGAAAGCCUGAUGCAGCCAUGCCGCGUGUGUGAAGAAGGCCUUCGGGGUGUAAAGCACUGUCAGCGAGGAGGCGUUACUCGCAGAAGAAGCACCGGCUAACUCCGUGCCAGCAGCCGCGGUAAUUC
rnacentral:rRNA from 1 species